CCUACGGGUGGCAGCAGUGGGGGAUAUUGCACAAUGGAGGAAACUCUGAUGCAGCGACGCCGCGUGGGGGAAGACGGUCUUCGGAUUGUAAACCUCUGUCUUUGGGGAAGAAAAUGACGGUACCCAAAGAGGAAGCUCCGGCUAACUACGUGCCAGCAGCCGCGGUAAUACGUAGGGAGCGAGCGUUGUCCGGAAUUAUUGGGUUUAAAGGGUGCGCAGGCGGAUUUUUAAGUCAGCGGUCAAAUCGUGGGGCUCAACCCCAUCCAGCCGUUUAAACUGGGGAUCUAGAGUGUGCGAGAGGUAUGCGGAAUGCGUGGUGUAGCGGUGAAAUGCAUAGAUAUCACGCAGAACCCCGAUUGCGAAGGCAGCAUACCGGUGCACAACUGACGCUCAGGCACGAAAGCGUGGGUAUCGAACAGGAUUAGAUACCCCAGUAGUC
rnacentral:rRNA from 1 species